rnacentral:pre_miRNA from 1 species
AGAGGAAUAGCUGGGUCAAAUGGUGGUUCCAUUUCCAGAUUUCCAAGGAAUCUCCAUACUGCUUUCCAUAUUGGCUGCACCAAUUUGCAGUCCCUCCAGUAAU